AAAUAUUUGUUUGGGAAGAGAAUGAAAAAUGUGACGUUUAUAAAGUAUUUGGACGGAAUAUGGAUAUAGGCACGAAAAGAAACUUUAAGACAAUUGUAAAAAAAGGAAUUUUUAUAUUUUUCAUACAAAGAAAAAGGAUGGAUCCUGCUGGGUCCUGCUGUGGCAGGUAACAAGAAUGACCAGAUAGAGAUUAGAGAACCCUUACCUGGCCAUCCUGACUUCAAGGACUUUGUGGUGGAUCACCAUCUCUUCCUUCGAAAAUUAUGGAAAUAACGUCGUGACGAAUAUAUAUUCACAAUUCUAUUCAAUUAUACGCUUUUGCUACAUAUAUAGUUGCAAUAAUAUAUUUAUCCUGCGUUAUAAAAUGUAUAUAAGAACACAUAAUAUUAAUAAUAUAUCUACAUGUUGAUUAUGAUAAUGAUAUUACAAAGAAAUUCAUGCAAAAAAUGCAUUAUUAGAAUGAAAUAAAAACAUAUAUAAGUAUUACA